rnacentral:tRNA from 1 species
CCCUGGUUAGCUCGGUCGGUAGAGCGCUCCACUGGAAAUGGAGAGGUUCCGGGUUCGAUACCCGGACCAGGCA